AGCGUUGUUCGGAAUUACUGGGCGUAAAGCGCACGUAGGCGGAUAUUUAAGUCAGGGGUGAAAUCCCGGAGCUCAACUCCGGAACUGCCUUUGAUACUGGCGAUCUUGAGUCCGGGAGAGGUGAGUGGAACUGCGAGUGUAG
rnacentral:rRNA from 1 species